UUCUGUCUUCCCUAGGGAAUUAGGCAUGCUUCUAUGUAUUAGGAAAAAAUAACAAAAGUAAAUGGAAUAUAUUCUGAAGAUAGUGACCGGUGAACAACCUCCCCAGUUCUAGUUGUGAUGAAGCUUCCAUCGAUACCUGCUCUCCAAUUUCCGACUGUACUUCAGUGGAAAGAGGUUACACACUUGUGUUACAAAUCCAAAUAAAUGUUAAAUAAGUUUUAUAUUCAAUGGUAUGUGAAAAUAACCAUUAAGACGACAUCUUAUAUUCUUAUCUUUCUUUUAGGAAUUAUCACACAACAUUUUAUGACCUGGUCAAAAAAUAUUAUUCCCACUGGACCAGAAUUCCUUUGUGUUGUACUAGUUUUAUGAGUGAAUUAUUGUUAUUUUUACAGCACCUUUUCCCAUUUUCCUAAGUUGCAUGGCAUAAACAAUGGCAAACUGAUACCAAUAUUUGGCAAUCUACUAAAGGUCUAUUUUUGAAAUGCAACUGUAUGAAGCUUAAAACAUUUGAGAUGGUCAUUGUCAAUUACUGAUCAUAGAUGCACCAAAGGCAAAAGCAGGAAGAGACGGAGAUGAAGAGAAGCAACGGGUAUUUGAGAUGUGGUGACUAAGUGGAUUGAAAACAAAACUGAAGCUGAUAACUUCUAAUAUACAAUGACACUUACUUAGAUGUGCGGUCGAGAGAGAAAAAAAAAAUUGUGAUGGCAACAAAGAUUGGAUAACAAUCAACUAUUAUCACAUCUACGCUGAAGAGAAAAAGAAGGAUAUAGCGGUUAACUAUAUUAGUCAUAUACUUUCUGAAGUUCUCACUUCAUCCAACCUUUAUAAGACUGCAAUUGCUAUAACAGAAGUAACCUGGGGCCUAGAGAUUCCAAGAUUUCAGAAAACUAUCUUUUGACUUCAGCAAAGAAAACUUGGUAGUAACUGUAUUUAAAGCCAUAUAAUAUGUUGGUUCACUAAAAUGUUUCCUUUUCAGGCAACAUCAAAAUUGUAGAUGCAGCAGAAGUGUUCUGGUGGCUGGUACACUGAAAAUUGACACAAACCAAAAUAGACAUCUAUUGCUGUCAAAAUUAACAUUAUUCUUAUAACUAAUCAUUGCUAGGUGGCAAUGCUACAUGAUCUGUCCAGCUCAACAAUCAUGUACAUAGUUCUGAUCAGUAAGCUGACAUCUAUUAGACUUUGCUCCUCCCGUUCUGCAUAUUAUUCAUCACGGCAAAGCAAUUCUUGCAUGUAUUUUCAAACAGACCAUGGAGAAAUCAAAGUAUGGAUUGCGCUGACAUAAAAAAGAGAGACUUAAAUUUUGGUUAGGAAGUUUCGGUCCAAUGCAUUUGUGGUUCGUAUCUAUGUCCUGUUGUGCUUCGUGUGAUUUACAUUCGUUGUAAGCAUUUCCUCCCGCUACUGAUUGUGCCUGUACUGAAUAGUGCUAGGUUUUACCGUUUUAUAGGGGGUUUGUGAGGUGGCCAAAUACCGUGCCAUGUGUUUGAAAGUUGUCAAAUCUGGUCACGCAUUGGGUGUUUGAUUGUACCCUGUUGUUCAUAUGUAGUGGUGAAGUCAAUCGGUCAUGUAAACUCAAUGAGCUAGAUAUCUGAAUUCUGUGAACUUGUUAACUAAAAUUGCUGUAGUUUUUACAUUGAUAGAACUAAAUGAUAAAGUGAAUGUGCUGCAUUUUUAACUGAAUGUACUGAUUGUGAACUGAGUUUUGCUAAAUGAUUCUAUGAAUUUUAUGCACACUGAACCUUCUGAACUUUUCUCCUGUCAUAACUGAAUCUUCUAAACUUUUGACAUUGUCAUAACUUAAUAUUCUGAACUCACGGUCAACUGUACACGCAAGUUUUUGAACCAAAGAUGUGUAUUUUGUAACUUUGUGACUAAUUUGAGCAUUCCGCGCAAGCUUAUGUACUUGUGUCAUAUUUACCUCAAAAGGAAAUAAAUAAGAAGAUCCAAAUCAGCAACUUGUUACCCCAUCCACCGGUAGCACCGUCAUCCGUGGACGACUCCACCUCACCCCCGUCCGGAGCUCGCUAGCGCCAGCCGUACCCGAUCUGCGGCGCGCCACUGUCGUCUCAUUGAUGAGGUCGUCGGCACCGCCCGAGCUCCACCGUUGGCCGCACGCAAUCCACGCCCGCCGUGUCCAUUCCCACCUCGAGCUCGCGAGCUCUAGACCAGAACACCAGUCGUCGCCCCUCCCAAAGCUCCACCGAUGACCGGUGUGACUGUGAGGCUGCGACGGCCGGGGAGUCAAGCAUCGCGCUGGGACCAAGGGUGGUGCAGCACGCAAUCGGGGCGACACAUGGGGAGGAGAAUAGGCCGGCGGAAGGUGGAGCAAUAGUGUUGUUGGGGCGGCGGCCGGAACCCUAGUGUGGCAGGGGGCGCUGGAUGAGGAGGAGAAAGAGACAUCGGGAGGGUUGCUGUGGUGGGGCACGUUUGGGGAAGGAAGUUCACACGGAUGGCAAGCACGAGUCAACAAC
rnacentral:rRNA from 1 species